CCUGGUACCAAAAAAAAAAAAAAAAAGUUUUUUUUUUUAAGAGUUAUGAAAUAACAGUACUUUUCCUUUUUUGCACCAGGGAUCAAACUUGCGUCCUUGCGCUUGUGCAUCAGGUGGCGAAACCACUGAGCUAAAUCCCCGCCCCCAGUUAUUACUUUUUUGUGUAAUAAAUAUUUUGUAUUUGAAAAAAGAAAAAAAGAGUGGUUGCCGGGAGUGGUGGCGCACACCUGUAAUUCCAGCACUUGGGAAGCAGAGGCAGGAGGAUCACCAUGAGUUUGAGUCUAGCCUGAACACAAAGUGAGACCUUGUCUAAAGAAAAAAGAGGUGACAGUGGACACCUUGUCCUGUUCUUGAUUUUACUUCCAGGCUGCCUGCCUUUCUUCCCUCCUCCCUCCCAUCUUUCUUUCUCUCUCUCUCCUCUCUCUCCUCUCUCUCCUUUUUUUUUUCUGUACCGGGAAUCAAAUUCCAGGCCUUAUGUUUGCCAAGGCAUUGAGCCACUGAACUACAUCCCUGGCAUUUUUUUUUUUUUGGUACCGGGGAUCAAACUCGGGUCCUUGCGCCUGCUCACCAGGAAGCGAAACCACUGAGCUAAAUCCCAGGCCCUUGAGACGAGGUCUUGCUAUGUAGUUCAGGCUGGCCUUGAACUCACUGUGUAGCCCAGGCUGGCCUCAAACUCAGUGAUCCUCUUGCCUCAGCUUCUCCAAUGCCAGUCCAGGCUAGCCUCACUCAUGCUCAACCUCCUGCCUCAGCCUCCCAUGUGCUGUGAUUACAGGCAUAUGCCACCAUGCCCACCUUUGGCACCCUUUUCCUAAACCAUUUAACCAUAUAUAUGAGGAUCUGUUUCUCAGCUGUCUUCUAUUCCUUUGAUCUGUUUGUCUUCCACCAGUACAGCACUGUUUUGAUUACUGUAGCUUUAUAGUUUUGUGUUUUGAGCCAACUCCUCACUAUGUAGUUCAGGCUAGCCUUGAUUUUUUUUUUUUUUUUGAAACAAGGUCUUGCUAUUUAGUUCAGUCUGGCCUUGAACUCACUCUGUAACUCACGUUGGCCUCAAACUCACAGCAAUCCUCCUUUUUCAGCCUCCUGUGUGCUGGGAUUAUAGGCGUGCAUCAUCAGGAAGUGGAUCAAACUCAGGUCCUUCUGCUUGCGAGACAGGCAGCAGAACCACUGAGCUAAAUCCCCACCCCCUGAGUUUUUCUAUUUCUAUGAAAAAAAGAAAAGUCGUUGAGAUUUUGAUGGG
ensembl:lncRNA